rnacentral:lncRNA from 14 species
AUGAAAUAAGAACAAGAUAAGAGGAAAGACUUCUCUAUCGAACUUGCUUAGACCUAUGUUGAGAGCGAUUUCAGAACAGCCAACUGAACUUGAAGUGUUCUAUUCUGUUGAACAGUGAUUCCAAGUGUGGUGUGACUGUAUUUUCUUGAGAUGACUGGCCUUGACAUUUCUUUCUUAGGACAACCAGAAGGUUUGAGCUUAACAAGCAAGUAUGUGAGAUCACCCGGGGAAACAAAAUGCAAAUGUGCUGAAG